AUGCUGGUGCCUGCUCCUGGCAAAACGCUCUUGCAUCUUGGCUCCUCCAGCAGCACUUUGGCUCCCCAGCAUGCAGCCCCGCUGGCAUGGCCCUGGUUAAUGCCACAGGGUGUCCCCAGUAGGGACUGUCCCCUGGGACAGGAGCAGGGUGAGGCAUGCAGUGGGUUAUUCUGGUCUGCAGCAAAACGCGCAGCCCCCACACUGCACAGCAGAGCACGGCUCAACUUAUCAGCACUCCAACGUGCCCAGCAAGGCGAUGCUGAUAGAGGACAGCGGCUGCUCCUUGGCUGCAGCAGCGCCCGGGGAUGCUGGGAAGCCCAAGCUGGCAGGAUGGGAGCUCGGCACCAGCACCAGGAGGGUGCCAAAGUGCAGAGCACAUGCUGGUCAUGCUGUGCCAGCUCCCAGCGUGGGAGCCAAAGCAGAGCACAUUUCCAAAAGCACGGCCCCGCGGUGUCUCAGGCACUGAAGCCAGCAGCUGCCACCUCUGCAGGGCGAAACCUGCGGGGCCAGGGCACCCACAGCCCCCUCUCAUCCAGCACAAACACCUCUUAUCAGUCCCUGGCAUCCCAGCAGGCAACACCCGCAGAGGCACUGAGGGAAACGGCCCCGCUGGGGGCCAUCCAAAAGGACUUUCUGAGUGACGCAGGGGGCCAGGAGCAUCGUCCCUCACAGGGGACGCGGGGCCAGCCCCAGUACACACAGGGGCCUCUUGUUCUCCUCCUGAGCUCCAGCUCUGUGCGAGCAGCGAUACGAGAGCAGCAGCCCCCGGCACACCAAGCACCGCGCCGCUCCCCACCGCUGCCACGCCGCGGCUGCGGACGCUUCACGAGCUGUCAAUAUUUGCUCCCACUCGUUCCCCUGGCGCCAGCUGCUGCCCUGGCAGCUCCCGGAGCAGGGAAGCGCCUGAAACAAACCACAGCCCAGCGAACAGCAGUGCCCACGGGCAGGGCAGAUGAAGCAACUAGAGGCAGGGGAGGGAUGCUGCUGGGAGGCCCUGGCACCGCAGAGCCUCUGCAGCACCCCGGCUGUUUUGGGACAGGACACACAGCUCUGGCAGGCCAGGACAGCGUGGGAACUCUGGGGUUUGGGCAGCCUUUUCCGCCUUUCCUCUGCCUGCAGAGUGGCAGAGCAACACGAGCCUGGCAGGCAGGCAAGCCAAGCAGAGGUCCUGCCCUGCUGUCUCAGCUUCGUCUCCCCACACUCUUUUAUUCCAGCAGAAACCUUAUUCUAUGCAAAUAA
rnacentral:lncRNA from 1 species